GGCGUCGUGGCCGAGUGGUUAAGGCGACAGACUAGAAAUAUGUUGGGCUCUGCCCGCACAGGUUCGAAUCCUGUCGGCGACG
rfam:Ciona savignyi cont_35825, whole genome shotgun sequence.